rnacentral:rRNA from 1 species
GGAGCUUGCUCUGUGGGAUCAGUGGCGAACGGGCGAGUAACACGUGAGCAACCUACCCCUGACUCUGGGAUAAGCGCUGGAAACGGCGUCUAAUACUGGAUACGAGUGGCGACCGCAUGGUCAGCUACUGGAAAGAUUUAUUGGUUGGGGAUGGGCUCGCGGCCUAUCAGCUUGUUGGUGAGGUAAUGGCUCACCAAGGCGUCGACGGGUAGCCGGCCUGAGAGGGUGACCGGCCACACUGGGACUGAGACACGGCCCAGACUCCUACGGGAGGCAGCAGUGGGGAAUAUUGCACAAUGGGCGCAAGCCUGAUGCAGCAACGCCGCGUGAGGGAUGACGGCCUUCGGGUUGUAAACCUCUUUUAGCAGGGAAGAAGCGAAAGUGACGGUACCUGCAGAAAAAGCGCCGGCUAACUACGUGCCAGCAGCCGCGGUAAUACGUAGGGCGCAAGCGUUAUCCGGAAUUAUUGGGCGUAAAGAGCUCGUAGGCGGUUUGUCGCGUCUGCUGUGAAAUCCGGAGGCUCAACCUCCGGCCUGCAGUGGGUACGGGCAGACUAGAGUGCGGUAGGGGAGAUUGGAAUUCCUGGUGUAGCGGUGGAAUGCGCAGAUAUCAGGAGGAACACCGAUGGCGAAGGCAGAUCUCUGGGCCGUAACUGACGCUGAGGAGCGAAAGGGUGGGGAGCAAACAGGCUUAGAUACCCUGGUAGUCCACCCCGUAAACGUUGGGAACUAGUUGUGGGG